rnacentral:lncRNA from 1 species
UCCAUUCGCCCUGUGGCUGGAAGGGUUGCCUAACCUCAUACAUCUGGUGAAAGGCUUCGGCUAGGCCACUGGAAGUUACUGGGGCUCUGGCUUCCUGGGGUCUUGCUGGUCCUGGGUCAGGGGAGCCGUCUCAACUCUGCAGACUCAGGUGCAUUGAGAAACACCAAGCAGCCUUCACACCAGUGCAGUCAGCUCCUCAUUCCACACAUUGUGCUGGCCAAUAUUUCAACUCAGGCUGGCUUCCUUCUGCCUCCACUGGCUCCCCAAUGCCUUCCCACCUCCACAGUGCAUGGAAGCCCAUCUCUGGGAAGCCUGACGUUCCUAAUACUCAUCUGGGUGGAAAAUGAUUUAAGGUGGUUCUUUGGUAGAAAUAACGCUUCUAGGUCCACACAUAAAAUAGUGGAUAUCUUCCUCCCACUAUGGAUUGUCUAUGUUACUAUCUCUUUCAUCAAGAUCUGACUGGGACAGAGCAUUCCAUAUUAUUGUCUAGGAACUGGCUAGGUGAUCUUUGAUAGUUACGUAAGUAUGUUACAUAGGACUGUUUUGUUUUCUCAGCUGGACUAUACAUUCCUAGCAGACAGGAAUAUGUCUCCUCUGUGUGUUGGUUUUGGCCACAGUGACCAGCCUGGCCAGGACAUAAAAGUCUUGGUUGACCGAGGCUUAGAGAUCUGGGGUUAGGAGCCCUGCUUUCACUCUCUCUGUGCUAUCUUUUCACUCUUGCCUUCCCCCACUUCCUGUACCAGAAGCUCCAGGUCACUGACAGGAGGAAGGGUGAGGACCUCAAAGCCAUUUAGAUGGAGGUCGAUGAGCUGAACUGAGCCACCCAGAGACUUCAGGCAGAAAUCACCAACCUCAGGAAACAGAUGGGACCCCAACUCAGCAGUGUGCUGCCCUGCAAGACACCAUCCUGGAGGCAGAGCAGAAGGGCAAGGUAGCCAUCGGAGAUGCCCAGGACAAGCUGGCUGAGGUGGAGGCUGGACCAGCUGCUCUGAGUUGAUGCGAUUCCCAGCUGAGAUUGAAUUAUGAA